rnacentral:lncRNA from 1 species
UGAACUCAAGUGUGGAGGGAUGGUGGUGGCAUGCACAUUUGACCAUCGCAUAGCAGAUGCCUACUCAGCCAACAUGUUUCUGGUUUCAUGGGCAAAGAUGGCCAACUCAGAAUCUCCAGUCAUUAUCGUACCUUCUUUUCGUCGUUCUUUGUUAAACCCUCGCCGUCCCGGUCAGAUCCAUCCUUCCCUAAAUGACCUGUACGUCCCUGUCACAUCUCUGCCCCCUCCUCCCAAAAUGGAGACCAAUGAUCAUGAAGACCGACUUCUCAGUCGCAUAUACUACGUUAAAGCAGAGCAACUUAUCAAGCUCCAAGCACUUGCGAGCUCCAGUGGUUGCAAAAGGUCCAAGCUGGUGUCCUUUUCUGCAUUCUUGUGGAAAAUGGUUGCCGGAAGCGAAACCGGCAAUGAUGUCGAAAAAUUAUGCAAAAUGGGUAUUGUAGUUGACGGAAGGUCUAGAUUAGCCGAUGAAAAUAAGAUGGCUAGUUACUUUGGCAAUGUUUUGUCUAUUCCAUUCGGAGAUAAAGUAAUACAAGAGCUCAAUGAAAAAUCACUGAAUUGGGUAGCUGAUGAAGUUCAUGAGUUUCUGGAAUGUGCGGUAACGAAGGAACAUUUCUUAGGGCUGAUAGACUGGGUGGAGGCUCACCGCCCGGUGCCAGGCAUGGCCAAGAUAUGCUGCAGCGGAAGCGAAGAGGGUCCUGCUUUCGUGGUGUCCUCCGGCCAAAGGCUUCCGGUUUCUGAAGUGGAUUUCGGUUGGGGGGCACCGCUUUUUGGGUCGUACCAUUUUUCAUGGGGAGGCAGCUCCGGGUAUGUGAUGCCGAUGCCGAGUCCGGUGGGGAAUGGGGACUGGGUUGUGUACAUGCACAUGUUGAAAGGGCAGUUGGACGUGAUAGAGAAGGAGGGUGGUCAUGUGUUCAAGCCCUUGACUUAUGAUUAUCUUGUUUAAUUAAAUUUUAUUAUUGUAAGUAUUUAUAAUUACCAAAUGUUUAUCUCAAUAAUUCUGUAUACACGGAGAUUGAAGUUAAAUUCCUUCUAUAUUGUACCUUAUGUAUGAUCAAUCAGGUACCCAAUGUUUAGAAGAGGGUACCUCAAGUUAUGCUCAGUUUGACAGUUUAAUAUUUCCGUUAAUUUUUUCGUUAAAUAUAAGAGAAAAUUUUGAUUUAUGUCCUAUUUAUAAAUAUAGACAUAAAUAUAUUUGUUUUGUGGGUUAAAUGACCAUUAGUCUUGGGUCUUUAUUAUUUUCUAGGUCUUUUAGGAGCACAUGAACAUGAAUUAAUAUUUUUGGUUAGGUUGAUAUAAUAUGACAUAAUCUAAUUUUAUGUUAAAAAAAUAUGUAUUUGUGAUUUGACCACCUAUUACACUACUUUCAGUGAAUUAAUUCGAUAUAUCUCAGUGGAGUAGUCUUGUGAGUGUUUAGGUUACACCGACUAAAUUUCUUAAAUAUAAAAUUCAAUUAUGUUUGAAGAAAAUAUUAAUACAUCCUUAUAUAGAUAAAUAUUAAUUCAAUUUUUGGAUAUAUAGUGAAAUAUAUACAGUUGUCUUCCAGAGCAGGACACCACUUUGAAAUUAAAGCGUGGUGCUCCUCAUUUUGCUCACUUUCAGGUCGCAUUUCCACAACUGCACAUUUUAGUGUCUAAAUGUGUAGAUCAUUUCUGUAAAGUUUCAUCAAAUUUGGAGAUCAUUUGAGCUUCCGUAAUUGUGAUUUACACGAAUAGUUUUGUUCUGUUUGGACAGUUUUUGUUAUGUUGAUUUAUUGAAUCUAAUUCGGUACCCAAAUGAUCUACAAAUUAGAUGAAACUGUGUAGGAAUGAUAUACACACUAUGUUAUAGACAUAAUACGGUUAAUAUGUGAAAAUGCGACUUGAAAAUGAACGAAAUAAGAAGGUUCACACUUUAAUUUCAAAGAGAGACACCGCUCUAAAAGGAAAUUGUGUAUACACAUAUGUCAUAUGAGUGUUUAGGUGCUUGCUAUGCUCUAAAUUGGCUCUAACUUUCUCUUUCUUAUGAUAUAUAUGAUGCAAGUUUUACGGAGAUAUUAGUUUAAACUUCGGACAAAACUCUCCUACCUCAUCUUGAAAUCUACAACCCAUAUCUCUCUCUCUCUCNNNNNNNNNNNNNNNNNNNNUACUACUACUACUACUACUCUACUACUACUACUACUCUCUCUACUCUCUCUCUCUCUCUCUCUCUCUCUCUCUCUCUCUCUCUCUCUCUCUCUCUCUCUCUCUCUCUCUCUCCUCAGUUUCUUUUUAUCUUCUUCUUUCUCCGUCCUUGACCUUCUCUUUCUCUUUCUCUUUCUCAUCCCUUUCCCUUUUCUUAAUUUUCUUUCUCCCUUCCCCUGUUUGCCUUUUCUCUGUCUCCUUUUUCCCCCACGUACCGUCAACAAUGACCCAAAUCCUUCUUAUCUCACCACAAAAGAUAAGACCAGCCUACCAAAUAAUAUCAUUGUAGGUGACUGACAACCAAUAACUAUCAAUUUAGCUAUUUCUCAUGUCCAAAGCAAAGAUUCCGGGCUGCUAGCAGUUAGUAACUUAAUUAGUACGUACAUUGUUUAACGUAAGCAGUUGGCUAAGCUCAUUUCUCGUUUAGGCAUUACAGCUAGGGUCUUAAUAAGGCUUAAAAUUUGUGACAUUAAUCCUAUGUGUCAUGUUAUAUAAGUAUGUAAAAAUAUUUACUUCUGAUUCCAGAUAAUAUAUCUUACCAAAUCAUUAGAUUACAUUACAAAUUUGACCAUUUCUAUUUCCCUUUAGAUUUUAAGAGGUGAAUCAAUGAUAUUAAUGAACUUUAUUAGCCUCUGCAGCGAUGUGCCUCUUAUUAAAGACUUUUAACCUUGUAGGCAUUUGCAGCUGCUAUAUGUGAUCUCUGUCACUUUGGCAAUAUCUUUAAACCCAUCAGGCAUUGAAACUGUUAUGUUCUAGAUAUCGAUUAUGUGGGGAUUAGGAUGAGACAGAGUGGGGACAACCACGACAAUCCUUGUCGUUCUCUUAGAAAAUCAUUUUUCUUAUCUCCCCCUAACUACGAGAAGACUAUCUCAUCAAAGUGACAUUCCGCAAGUCUAGCGAUAAAGAGAUGACUUGUCAAGAGUUUCAAAUGGCGGAUAAUUAUUGGAGUUUCAUAUCCAACACAUAAAUAUUCGUUUCUGAGGACCCAAUUUUGAUGCGUUGUGGGGGUGCAAUAAGCACAUAUGUUGCACAACCAAGUAUGCGUAAAUCUUAGGCUCAUGUCUAGUUACCAACUGGUACACAGGGAAUGGUUGGCUAGGAGUGGGCUUAAAAAUGAAUAAGUAAGGUUGCAUGCAAUAUUGCAUAACCCCAAGCAGAUAUAGGCAAGUUGGUGCGCAUAACCAGUACCCUAGCCAUCAUUUAUGGUGCUUUCUGCGAGACCAUUUUUGUAUGCAAAUGGGGUACAAGAUGCUCUACAUUGAUCAUGAUAGACAUACAAUAACCAUCAAAUCCUUUUGAUGUGAACUCUCAUCAUUGUCAAGUCCUAUAGACUUGGUGAUUAGGGUGAUAAGCCCUUAAACACAUAAUAUUUGCUAAGAGUUUUGCAAAUGUAGUAUUUCUUGUGAAUAAUAAUUCGACAUAUGACUAGUGUGUCGAUACGUCCUCUAGAUACAUAAUGUACUUUAAUGGUCCGCAUUUCUGGAUGGAUAAGUCCACAGUCAUCACAUUGUAUUCUUUGUAAGAAUGGAAUAUAUUGGUUUAUAUCUUUAGCAUAAGGAGGUCUCGAUCUUAUUUUUUUGCUAAAGUAUAGACUUUGCAAAACGAGUAAUUUUGCCUUUGAAAUAAUCAAUAAGGCAUAAUGGGAGGCAUGUUGUGUAUCACGUGCUUUAGAGUGCAAUGACCGCAUUAUAGCAACAUUAGCUAGAACUGGCCAGUGUCUGGUGGUCAGAGUCGGUGUCGUCACCUUGCAGGGUAACAGAGUUUUGUCCCAUUUUAUUAUUCACUCAAAGGAUAGGAUAUCCGUGUGAGUUCUUUAAAAUACGAAUCAUCAUGUCAUGACCAAGAAGUUUCUUGGUGGUCAUGCUAAAGUCUGUGUAAGUCCCUAUCCCAUGUUUCAAUGUAGGUGACUAGUUAGAUUUUUUAAAAUGCGUGUCCUACCACAUUUUAUUUAAGGUAAUAUCAUUCCAUUCUCACAUUAGAUUUUCAUAUGAUGAUCGUUGGUACGAAUUUCUUGAAACUUUAACAUGGUUUGAUUAGUGUGGUUAAUUCCACUGUCAGCCAAGCACUUGGUUUUCUUCUCGAUACAUUCCUUACAAGUAUAUAAGAGUUUAUUAAAAUAUACCUCGUAUUCUUUGGAGUAUUUCGAGUCUCAUCUAGCGUCCUCCUCACAAAUAAACCAAACAUACUUAGCAAAUAACAAAGAAAUUAUCCAAAAAAAAAAAAAAAAGCAAAUAACAAAGAAACACGCGUACAUGACCAACUUACUGCACCGGCUAGAUUAUAGAUUCAGAUCACUAGAUUACGAACCCUGCACAAUAGUUCCGAGUCAGAAGUAGAAUUUUUCUCUACUGUAACAACGGAGAAAAAGUAGAAACCAGCCCCCCGGCAAGCAACAUUGUAACAACCCUUAUUUGUUUUCAUUGUUCAUUGUAGGUCAUGACUCGCAAUCAAUAACUGCCAAGUUUAGUUAUUUCUCAUGUCCAAAGAUUCUGGGUUGUCGAACCCAUACAUAAUAAGUUAGUUCAUUGUUCAACGGAAGUACGUAGCUGGCUAAGCUCAGUUCUCCUUUUUCCCUUCCACAAGCCUACCUAUAUUUUUUAUUUUUAUUUUGAGGCAAAAACCUAUAAGUUUAUCAAAUUUAUGUAUUUUUGAUCGUCAACAUAAUUCAACAUCAAAUGAUAAUUAAGUAUAUAAAGGUUUUGAUUAGUUGAUUCAAACUUAAGCCAUUUAAGAACAUGUUCCAAUCAGAUUGUGCUGAACAAAUUGAUGUAAUGAAUGAUUAUAUAUAGCUGAGUUUCAGCAUUAUGUUCUUAGAAAUGUUAUUUCACUCUCUAAAUUAACUUCCUCGUCUAGCUAGUCCUCCUCACAAACCAAAGCAUACCAAACCAAACGAAACCAAACACAAUUAGCAAAUAAUAAAGAAACACAUGACUAACUUACUAGUUACUACACCAGAUUAUAGACUCCGAUCACUAUAUUACCAACACUGUAAAUGCAUAACGGUUCUCAUAAGAAGAAGAAGAAGUUUCCUCCACUGUAACCACUAGCUGGCUCCAGUGGUCCAGGUCUCCAGGAACUAACAAAUAUGCAAGUUGAAUUAACUCCUUACUUUGGUUUGCUGUUCAGAUAAUAGCUUAUAAGUUAUAAUUAAAUUUAGCCUUACCUCAAAUCGUCAUUGUCGCGGACUCACAUGAACUAGUUGUUUAAGUUAAUUUAUUACCACACCAACUUUUCCAAAGAUGUGAGCCUAUAUAAGUAAUCCAGAAGAAGUUGGUACAUUGUGAUGAAAAGGUAAAUAGUUUGGUAGCUCGAUAUUUUAUUGCUUAAGUUGCUUUCACCUCUAAAACCUACCCAUGCAGCUCAGCUUACUGCUUAUUGCUAUACUAAUCAAGGCCCAUUUAGGAUAACUUCGAUUUAAAAAAAAAAAAAUUAGGAGUGUUUGGUAAAUCUAAAAUGGAUCAGUUUUUAGAAGCAACAUCGAUGUAAGCAAUCAUCUAGAUUCACCCCUUAAAGGAAAAAGAAAUGGUAAAACUGGUAAUGCAAGCUUAUAAUUUGACAAGAUGAAAAAAAAAAAAAACUUAUGAUUUGACAAGAUAAAUUAUGUGAAAUCAGAAAUAAAUAAUUUUACAUACUUACGUGACAAUACUUACAUGACAUGAUUAAUGUCACAAAUUUUAGGCCUAAAAUCCUAUAUCAGUGCUCUUUCUCGAUUGAAAUUUGCAUCGUAACAGGUGUAAUAGUAUUACAAAGAACUACCAACCUGAUUUGGUGAACACAUUUAAUUAAUUAAUAAUUACAGUGAGUUUUAGUUAGGAAUAUUAUUCCACUCUCGAACUACACACUGCCUAUAAAUUCACUCCUCAUCUAGUGUCUUCCUCAUAAACCAAACCAAACCAACCAAACUUAACUAGCAGAUAACAAAGAAACAUGGCUGGAGGCAGAGAAUUCAAGGUGAGUACGAGGAAGCAAGAAGUGGUGGCCGCUGCACUGCCAUUGCAAGAGCACUGGCUACCACUCUCCAACCUCGACUUGCUUCUGCCACCAGUCGAUGUGGGAGUGUUCUUCUGCUACAAGAACCACAGCAGCCCCUCUGUGGCCGCCUCCAGGGUCGGGGUUCUGAAGAAGGGCUUGGCCCAAGCCCUGGUGACAUACUAUGCCUUUUCGGGUGAGGUGGUGGCCAACUCUGUUGGGGAGCCUGAGAUUCUGUGCAACAACCGUGGGGUUGAUUUCACUGAAGCUUUUGCUGACGUUGAACUUAAAGAGCUCAACCUUCAUAACCCUGAUGAGAGCAUUGAAGGAAAAUUGGUUCCCAACAAGAAGCAUGGGAUUCUGGCCGUCCAGGUUGAUAUCCGACUCCUGUUCCCUCUCACUUCAACGUUUUAAGUUUUGUUUUUUGUUUAUAAAAUUUGUAGAUUUGAACCAGAAGUGACUCAUUUCCUCUAGCAAAAGCAGCCUAGAAACUUAAAACCAUUAAGGACAAAGGAUGAUAAAACACAACUAGCUACAAAGAACAAAGAGUACGUAUUAAACGUAAAUGCUAGCCCAACUGACCAGGCUACAUGAUUACACUACCAAAAAUUAGGAUUGACUUCUGCACUAUAUAUGGUAAAGCUUUUAGGGCAUCCAAAAUUAGGGUUUUUCAGGUUUAAGGUGUGCUCCAGAGUUUUAUUUUCGAACUGUAAUUUGAUGAGGACCUAAAGCCGACUUGAUUUUAGACAUAUAUAACAAACAAUAUCAACACAAAGAAUCCAUGAGAAGCACGCAAAAUUUUAAGUGUCGCUAUCGCUGUCCCAGAGUUACGUACUCAUAGUAUUGUAUUCCUCUCCAAGUUCUUCUUACUGAAGCAAUAUCCAAAUCAAAUUUCUCUUGUUGAAUGUACAAAAUUUGCAGGCAACUGAACUCAAGUGUGGAGGGAUGGUGGUGGCAUGCACAUUUGACCAUCGCAUAGCAGAUGCCUACUCAGCCAACAUGUUUCUGGUUUCAUGGGCAAAGAUGGCCAACUCAAAAUCGCCACUCACUAUGGUACCUUCUUUUCGUCGUUCUUUUUUAAACCCUCGCCGUCCCGGUAAGAUCCAUCCUUCCCUAAAUGACCUGUACGUCCCUGUCACAUCUCUGCCCCCUCCACCCAAAAUGGAGACCAAUGAUCAUGAAGACCGACUCCUCAGUCGCAUAUACUACGUUAAAGCCGAGCAACUUAUCAAGCUCCAAGCACUUGCGAGCUCCAGUGGUUGCAAAAGGUCC